CGAGAUGUAGCUCAGUUGGUAGAGUGCUUGGUUUGGGACCAAGAUGCCGCAGGUUCGAGUCCUGUCAUCUCGACCA
rnacentral:tRNA from 1 species